UACAGAGGUCCCAAGCGUUGUUCGGAUUCACUGGGCGUAAAGGGUGCGUAGGUGGUCGGGUAAGUCUGAUGUGAAAUCUCCGAGCUUAACUCGGAAAUGGCAUUGGAUACUAGUCGGCUAGAGGGUUUGAGGGGGGACUGGAAUACUUGGUGUAGCAGUGAAAUGCGUAGAUAUCAAGUGGAACACCAGUGGCGAAGGCGAGUCCCUGGAAAACUCCUGACACUGAGGCACGAAAGCUAGGGGAGCAAACAGG
rnacentral:rRNA from 1 species